rnacentral:misc_RNA from 1 species
AAACAAAAUAAAAAUUAUGUGUAUCCAUCCCUAUAAAUUUCAGCAGCCUAGGGGUGGUUAGGGUUUGAUGAAUUUACUUGAAGUAAAGUGUUUAUGAGCUGCCCAUAGCAUGAGAUGAGUGCUUGAACAUGAUUGUGUAAGUGAAAUGCAAGUAUAGUGCAUGAAUGAACUUAAGAACUUGGACAUUUGAAUAACAUUAGGGUUUGCUCAUGUAAU